AAAAACUCCGGUGGUAUGAGAUGGACCCGCGUCUGAUUAGCUAGUUGGUGGGGUAACGGCCCACCAAGGCGACGAUCAGUAGCCGACCUGAGAGGGUGACCGGCCACAUUGGGACUGAGACACGGCCCAAACUCCUACGGGAGGCAGCAGUGGGGAAUAUUGCACAAUGGGGGAAACCCUGAUGCAGCAACGCCGCGUGAGUGAAGAAGUAUUUCGGUAUGUAAAGCUCUAUCAGCAGGGAAGAAAAUGACGGUACCUGAGUAAGAAGCCCCGGCUAACUACGUGCCAGCAGCCGCGGUAAUACGUAGGGGGCAAGCGUUAUCCGGAUUUACUGGGUGUAAAGGGAGCGUAGACGGCGAUGCAAGUCUGAAGUGAAAGCCCGGGGCUCAACCCCGGGACUGCUUUGGAAACUGUAUGGCUGGAGUGCUGGAGAGGCAAGCGGAAUUCCUAGUGUAGCGGUGAAAUGCGUAGAUAUUAGGAAGAACACCAGUGGCGAAGGCGGCUUGCUGGACAGUAACUGACGUUGAGGCUCGAAAGCGUGGGGAGCAAACAGGAUUAGAUACCCUGGUAGUCCACGCUGUAAACGAUGAAUGCUAGGUGUUGGGGAGCAAAGCUUCUCG
rnacentral:rRNA from 1 species